ACAAACAAAAGCCAACCUGGCUGAGCAGUGAUGGAUGGAGCUCGGGAGCAGGGGUGACAGCAGCAUUUAUCUUCUCUCAGGUGAUGGAUGCAGGCUGUCCUCCAGCCCAGUGCUGGAUGAGCAGUGCCCUUCACCUUGGCUGGACUAGGUGUGGUGUGGGGGAGUUUUUCUGCACAUCUCUGCUUGCCAGGGUAGCAUCUGGAUAAAGAACAACAAACCUCUGUGUUCACACCCAGCAAAUGUUCAGAAUUCCUUAGAUGGCUGCUAAUUUAAUCAUUGUAAAUGGAAUAAAAUCAGUGUGCUCAGUGUGUUCAACUGUUUGUUGACCUCUUAGCAUUUGGAUAGAGGAUUGUCAAAUUAACAAAUCCCUCUCCCUUGGGAGCUGAGAUUUAAACUGGUUUUCCUCUGAUCAGGAAGACAGAGGUGGGAAAAAAAUUGAUAUGUUUUUUUCUCUAAGAAAACAAAGGCAUGAGCUUUAUAAAAAAAAGAUUGGAAGACAGGAUCACUCAGAUCCUGGUCCUGUGGCUUGCUUAAGCAAUGUCAGGAAUUGGGGCAGCACAAAUCAAACAGUCAGCAAAUUCUGAGGGCCCUGGGGUAUUGAAAAAUGCUUCUGGGGAAGGCUGCUAAUUGUAUUAUGGGUCAGUGCUUCACCAUGUGUUGUUUCUGGUUGUUCUGCAUUAAACUGCUCUGUCACACCAGCCUGUAGUGGAAUACUGCGAGGGAGACCGAUGCUAAGAGAAAUCUGCUCUGUGAAGAGACCAACAAAAAGCUCACCCCCCUUCCUUUUUGUCCUGAAAGACCUGAAACAAAAAAAAGAACCUGUCAAAAAAGAACUUGGGUCAAUGAUCCUGAAUCAACCGUGUGGAAGCACCAGCCUGGAAGCAGAAAAACAUGGACUGGGGGUGGUGAGGGACAGGACUAUUCCCUUACUCCUCAGUGUAAUUUGGAAGAGGAUUUAGGAAAGGCAGAGGAUCACUGCAGCAUCUAAGAGGCUGAUGGCCUCUCUGCUCACACAUAUCUAACAGAUGUCCUGGCUUUGUGAGCCUGCAAGUGGAGUGCUCAACAUCUGCUCCAUGUUAAAUGGAUUCUCCUUCCCCAGCUCUGACUCUGCUGGGAAAAAAAAAAAAAAACAAAAAAGGAGAUGACCAAGUCUUGGAAUGCACGAAGGAAAUGUGAAAUCAGGGGGAAAAUCUGGCCUGUGAAUAUUUAAAGUAGAAAAUGCAGUUUGUAGUGGCAGAAACACAGUUUCAAACUAUGAAUUUAAUGUUUUCCCUUUUUAGGUAUGUUUGGUGAGCUGGCCUGUGGCUUUUCCUCCUCUUUUGUGUUAAGGUCAGCAUGGACAGAAAUAUCUGCUGAGAUGAUCAGCCUUACUCCAGCACACCCUGCAGUCCAGGAUAACCAAAUUUAAUUGCUUUUUGUGAGGAAAAUGGCAGCAGAAAGUACCUGAUUCGUAGCUUUAUGCUAAGUGCUAAAAUUCUGAUCCAUAAAAUGCUGCUCAACUUGGGCGUACUGAGGAGUGUAAUUUAAAACAGGUUCGAACUGCACAGUCUGGGGAAAAACAUGGUGUUUGGGUUUUGUAUUUAAAGGAGGGAUGUGUGUCUGUGUGGGAUGACUGCAACUUCCUCAAAGCAGUUUUGUCAUGGGUGUCUUGGGAUAAAGCUUUUUUUUUUUUCUUUUUUAACAGGGUGACUGAAAUAAGAGUCUCAUUUCAGAUGUCGAAAGAAUCUUUGUGCAGUUCAACCGAUGUGUGCGGCAAGUCCUGAGAGGACUCUGGAUAAAUCGUGUGUGUCUUUGACAAGGAACUGAGAGGCCACUAAUAGUUUCUGUUUUUAAUUUACUUUGCCGAAAUGCCUCUUCUUGCUGAUGGCAAAAGCCAGAUGGUAGCUCAGUGUCCAGCAGGGAUGGAGAUGCCCAAAGCAAUGUGGUACCCGCCCUUCAUCUUUCUCUGGUGGGGAUGAAGAUGUGGGAGCUCCAAAAUAAUGGCACCCUGUGGACAUCACUGUUAUUCCGUAUGGAUUGUGCAUCGGGGAGAAAUAUUGCUUUCAAAGAAUGACAACAGCUGCUUCAGCAAGUGGAUUUGCUGUGCAAGAGGUCAUUAUUUACAGCUGCCAGCUUUAUUGAAUUCUCCCUUACAUUUCAUCCUUAUUUUCUUUUAGAAGGGCAAAACAACUUAGGGUUGAUGUUUUGUGUGCCAUCAACUGAACUUGGGGCCAUCAUGAAUAUCACCAAGGGUGGGCUGGUGCUGUUCUCAGCUAAUUCCAAUUCCUCGUGCAUGGAACUGUCCAAGAGGAUUGCUGAGUAAGUAAAGUCUGCAGGGA